GAUGAACGCUGGCGGCGUGCCUAACACAUGCAAGUCGAGCGAAGCGCCUUACUUGAUUUCUUCGGGAUGAAAGUAUUGUGACUGAGCGGCGGACGGGUGAGUAACGCGUGGAUAACCUGCCUCAUACAGGGGGAUAACAGUUAGAAAUAGCUGCUAAUACCGCAUAAGCGCACGGCUCCGCAUGGAGCAGUGUGAAAAACUCCGGUGGUAUGAGAUGGACCCGCGUCUGAUUAGCUGGUUGGUGAGGUAACGGCCCACCAAGGCGACGAUCAGUAGCCGACCUGACGAGGGUGACCGGCCACAUUGGGACUGAGACACGGCCCAA
rnacentral:rRNA from 1 species